rnacentral:rRNA from 1 species
AUUGAACGCUGGCGGCAUGCUUUACACAUGCAAGUCGAACGGUAACAGGCCUUCGGGUGCUGACGAGUGGCGAACGGGUGAGUAAUGCAUCGGAACGUGCCCAAUCGUGGGGGAUAACGUAGCGAAAGUUACGCUAAUACCGCAUAAGCCCUGAGGGGGAAAGUGGGGGACCGCAAGGCCUCACGCGAAUGGAGCGGCCGAUGUCAGAUUAGCUAGUUGGUGGGGUAAAGGCUCACCAAGGCGACGAUCUGUAGCGGGUCUGAGAGGAUGAUCCGCCACACUGGGACUGAGACACGGCCCAGACUCCUACGGGAGGCAGCAGUGGGGAAUUUUGGACAAUGGGCGCAAGCCUGAUCCAGCCAUGCCGCGUGCGGGACGAAGGCCUCGGU